CGCUGAGCCACCCAGGGAUCCCCCGAUCUGUCUCUUCUUAAAGGGGUCUGAGCCAAGAACUAAGGGUAGAGGGAAAGUUUUCAUUCUUCCCCAACACAACGAAAGAAGAAUCAACAAAUAAUUGCAAAGGUGCCAAAUGUUGAUCAGCUUUGACCGUUACCGUCGAAGUCUGCAUGUCAUUAGUACCCACUCCUGUCCUCAGCCGACUGCUGAAAUUUCACCUACUAUUCUGUUUUUACAUGAUGGCUCUUGGGGACACUCAGUGAUUUAUUGCACACUCCAGGGAUCCUACUUCUCUAACUUUUAUGGUCCUGAGACCUUGUUGGCUUCUCCACAAAUGCCUGGAUCCAUCAGGAAUGUCCAUUUCAUUCACGGUGGCGGGCCCGUGGAAAACACGGAGUACCUGAAGUUGCAGUGAGUACUGGCACCCACAGGAUCACCCCCACGGUCUGAAGAGUAAAAGAGUUCAACUUUGCAAGAUUUCAAGGAAGAAAAAAUGACCAACUUUCUUAAACUUAGGAUGUAGUCCUGAAGGAAGAACAAGUUCAAGGAGAAAAACGUCCUUGUACCUACCUUCCCACUCAUGCUCUCUUUUGACUUGCUAUGAGAUUGAAGAUAUAGAAUUAUAAUUCUGCAAACCUUUCAUGAGAUGUUUUCAUAAUGUUAUAAUGUAUUCAUAAUGUCAAAUGUUGAGGGGUGAGUGAGAAAUGAAAUUUUCAUUUAUAUUGUA